rnacentral:piRNA from 1 species
UUCAGGCUGCUGAGAAACUAGGUGAGACA